CCAGGUGGGAGAAAAUAGAAAACCCCCUAAAUGUGUGUUUUCUUCAUUUUAUAUCUAUGAGAAAGUUUCCAACUCUUUCAUUAUGGUUAAGUAUCAGUAAUGAUGGAAAGUGCUCUCUCUCUCUCUCUCUCUCUCACUCUCUCUCUCUCUCCUUCCCUCCCUCCCUCUUUCUCUUCCUCCCUUCCUCUCCCUCCCUCCCUAUCUUCUUCUUCCCUCAUUCUCUUUAUCUCCCUUCCUCCCUCUCCCUCCAUCCCUCCCUCUUCCCCUCCCUCCUAGUCUUUUUUUCCCCCUCUCUUUGCACAUGUGUGCACACACUUGCAGACUUCUCUUAGGAGUCACAACAUUUGCCCAUCAGGAUGGUGCACAGCCUUAAUCUCAGCACUCAGGAGGCAGAAGCAAACAGAUCACUGGGAGCUCAAGGCCAGCUUGGUCUACAUAGUUCAACACAGCCAGCACUAAUCAGUGAGACCCUGUGUUAAAAAAAAAAGUUACAACCUUACAUCCUCAGGUUUGCUGUUCUUAAAACGCUGACUUAAACACUUCUUCUAGAAUGUAUUUUCACACACCCAUAUAAAAAUAUUAGUAUUUUAGUUGCUAACAAGACAUCUCCCCCUUCUCAUGGUUGUUCCUGAUCACUUCAAAGUCAGUUAUCUUGAUCAAUAAGCAUUUGGUUGGCUAGUCCCAUAGAUUUUAUGUUUUAUGACACACCUCGAGCUGAUUCUGUACUGAUGCCACUAAGGGAAUGUGAUUCUAUGCACGAGGUAAGUCAGUGAGGGUGCAGCUGCUUGUUAGAUAAAAGGGUUUGAGUCCUAGUGUUAACGUGUGCUCUCUGCGAGAUGUCACACAGAGCUGAUUUAUCGCUUUUAAGUGGUCACUUCUAUUGAGCUUACCAUUUGCUCUACAGAAUACUAAGACCCUCGCAGGUAUGACUUACCUUACAGUCCCAAACCUGGAGAAACUUUCCAUAGUCCAUCAGCCUCCAGGGGAAGAAACAUAGAAAAAUGUCUCUGGUAUAUUAAUGAAUUGAACUUUGGCUCCAGAGUUUUGUUGCCUGAGUUUAGAUUCCAGAUUUGCUUCUUUCUGGCUUCCUGUGAUAGAACAGCAACACGUCGACUCAGUCCCUUGCUGUCAUUUUGUUCUUAGGGAGGUUUCCUUUCAUUUCAAGUGGCACACCAGAAUAAGCAUCAAACUCUAAAAAUACUUAAUGUUUUAUUUUGAGACAGGCUUUUUUUCUCUCUCUAUAAAAGACUUGGCUGUCCUGGCACUUGUUCUGUAGACCAGGCUGGUCCCAAACUCAGAGAGAACCGCUUGCCUCUCAAAUGCUGGGAUCAUGUGUCACCACUGCUUAUUUCAAUUGUUUAAUACGAAAUUUUCAGAAACAUUAUUUUUCUUCUUCCAACUGCUCCCAGAUCUACUUCUGCCCUAAUGACCAAACUUCAUAUUUUUUCUCUCUCUUAAAACAAAGAAAUAAAACACAAAACAUAAAAGGACAUACACACUAUCAUACACACACUAUCACACACACACUAUCACACAUACACACUAUCGUACACACACACACACACACAUAUACACACCAGACUGCAGAUACAUAUAUACAUACAUACCACACACAGAACACCAUACCCCACACAACUCUCAACACCCACUCUCAUACCUACACAUACACUCAACAACACAUAUACACACACACACACAUACAUCACACACAUCGCAUACACACCACAUCAUACACACCCACACACCUCACAUGCACACCAGACCCCCCAACACACAUCGCAUACACAAAACACACACACACACACACACACACACACACACACACACACACUCACACAGCCCAAACCAAAUUAAUCCACAGAAUGUGUUUUUGGUUGGCCAACCAUACCUGAACAUGAGGCCUGCCCCGGAGUGUGAUUGUUAUAUCCAGUGUCGCUCCCUUGAGGAAAACAGAUUGCCCCCUCCGAGCAGCCAUUAAUAGCAAAUGGCUUCUGGGUUAGGAGUGGGAUUUUGUGCCUAUUUCUUCUUUUCUGUGCCAAAACUUUUGUCUUAAACUUGUGAGAUCGUGUGCAUGCUGUCAAAGUGUUUGAAUUCAUGAGUGUAUCUGCCCUGCUGUGUCUGGAAAGUACUGUUUCUCAGGACCCCACCUCAAGCUCUUACAGUCUUUCUCUUGCCUUUUCAUACAUUGCCCGAGCCUUGAGAGGAGCAGUGUGGUAGAGACAUCCCACUCAGGGCUAAUGCUCUUUCACUCUCUGCAUGCUCUGGCCCUCUGCAUUCACUCCCACCAACCGCAACUGAGGGAUGUACUUACCCGUGACUAUAGCAAUAUUCUGCUAAAUGAACAAACUCUGAAAUAACAAAGUAACAAACUCUGAAAGAGACUAUACUUACCUAUUUUCUUUUCACUUUUUCAUUUCUGUAUUGUAUAGGUGAAAAAAUUUUCAUACUUAGUCUGCCUUUGUACUUGGAAGUAAGUUACUAAUAUUUCUCCGGAGAAUCAUUGUUGAUUUGGUUAUGCUCUUAAUAUGUAGAGAGAUGUGAGCAAUGCAUUUUUAUUUAAUUACUUUUAAUUGAAAAAACAUUUUAAAUACAAUUUAUUCUUAUCAUACUUCUGCCCCACUCCAGUUCCUGUCAUGUGCUUAGCACCCACCCUUCCCCAGGCCCUUCCUUCUCUCCAGUUCCUGUCACGUGCUCAGUGCACUCCCCACCCAGCUUCCUUCAUGCCCUUUCGCUCUCUUUAGGAAACAACCUCACCCUCCCAACAUUGUAAGAAACUAACUUUCUGACACAAAACUGCAGCAAUGCCCACAAAAGCACCAAAUCAGAAACCAUCACACAGAAGCAAAAGACCAGCAAGAGCAAAAACAGGCCCCAAACUAGCAACGGGAGACAAAAGUCUACAAAAACACCACUUUGUUUGGUGUUGGCCGUCUGCCAUUGAGCACAGGACUUCCCCUGAAGUGUGAUUAAUAUACUCAAAAGAAACUCCACAGGAGAAAACUAGUUUUUCUUCCCAAGACAUUGUGAGUUGGAGACAGCUUCCUGGUCGGAGGUAGAAACCCAUGUCUGCUUCCUUGUAUCAGUGCCGGGAGCCUACCUUCUUGAACGUGUGCUGGCCCUGUGUGUGCUGCCACUGUCUCUGUGAGUUUUUAUGUACACCAGUCCUACUGUGUCUCAAAGACACUGCUUCUCUCUUGUUAUCCACCCCAGUGGCUCUUAUAAUUUCUCUGCUUCCUCUUCCUGACAGUUCCUUGAGUUCUGGUUGGGGCAUGAUUUAAUAAAGACAUCCCAUUUAGAACUGAGGGUUCCAAACAUCUCUCACUCUGCACAUUGUCCCACUGUGGGUCUCUGCUAAUUUCCAGCUACUGUAAGAGAAGUCAUGCAUUUUUUUAAUGGUUUUUGGGUCAGGUUACUAAAUAAAAUAAAAUAGAUGAUUAAGAUGAGAAAAGUUAAAAGUAAAGUCUUAUAUAACUUUCAAAAUGUAUGGGGAACUUUCAGUGUAGUUAUUCCAGAAAGUGUGUCCUCAUAUCGCAAAUCACAUCUGUAGUGGACCAUUGUGGUUCUGGUCUGUUAGUGUGGGUCAAUCUGCAGCGACUGUCGGCUAUGUGUAUAAACUAUCCUGUAAUCCCCUAGCAGUCAGCCAAGCAGAAAGUCCCUGAGAUGUCUCUGGCCCUCUGAAAUCUCUGCUAUUAGGCUCCAUCUGGCCUGGGGAAAUAUGUCUAGUUUAUUACUAUCCCAUCUUGACACAGCAGAAAUGAGGUAAUCUCUACUUUUUCUACCAAGAUUUUUCCAUGAUGUCUUCCACAAACAAUUUUUUAAGCGUCCAGCUUGCGGCACAUACUGAGAGGCUACAUACACUCUUUUCCUCGGGUACCUUUUAUAAGCUAAAACCAUGCCAAAAUGGAAGGAAGUCUGUAAAGUUGCUAGUUUUCUUUCAAACAUUACUGAGAAGUGGGCAUAUCCUCCUGACUUUUUUUAUGGUAGCCGCUGAGAGGUAAGUCAAUUACAUUUAUUAUGAAUUCUUACCGAUAAGUGGUGAAAACAGAGCAGGUUCUCAUUUUUAUUUUUGUUUUUAUUUGCUGCAAAUAUUUGGAUCAAAAUAUUAAUUUUGGAACAAUUAUUCACUUAUAUAUUCAUGGAACCUUUUUGAAUGUAUUGGAAGGAAAUGUGUAGCUCCCUCACAAGAGCACACUGUGAAUAUUCAACAGACAUUUAAAAAGUCCACUUAUGCUUUGAGAUGGAUGGAGAAAUCAGUGUGUUUAAAAAUACUUCAAAAACAUUGUUGUUUUGUUUUUCAAGACAGGGUUUCUCUGUGUAGCCCUGGCUGACCUGGAACUCAAUAGGUAGAUCAGGCUGGCCUUAAACUCACAGAGAUUCCCCUGCCUCCUGAGUGCUCAAAUUAAAGAUGUGAGCCAUCACCACCUGGCUUAAUUUUUAAAUAUUUUUACACACUAUAUCUUGAGCAUAUUCUUUUCCCUCUUCCAACUCCUCCCACAUCCCUUCCAAUGUUACCCAACUUCAUGUUCUUUUUCUCUUGAAACAACAAAACAAAAUUAAAUGCGCGCACACACACACACACAUACACACACACACACAAAACCAGCAAGCACACAGCAGAAACUGUUCAUAAUCAUGACAACUGCUCCUGGGUCCUGCCCAGUGCUGUGGUUAUUAUCUCCCCUGCCAAUCUCUUGAAGAAAAUGGAUUUUCCCUCUCCUAACCAUGAUCAUUUUCAAAUAGCUUCUUGGUUAGAGGUGUUUGUGUUUAUUUUCCUCUUCUCUGUGUUGGAUUUUUGACCUGGCACGGAUGUGGGCAGGUCUGAUGCCUCUGUGGUUCAUGUGUGUAUCAGUCCUGUUAUGUCACGGAAUUGUUAUUGUCUUGGAGUCAUCCACUACCUUUGCUUCUUACAGUCUUUCUACCUUGACUUCUGUAAGAUCCCCAAGCCUUGCUUGAGAAAGUUCUUCACUCUCCACACAUUGUCCAGUUGUGGGUUUCUGUGUCUAUUAGCAGCUAUGACAAGAAGAAGCUUUUCUGAUGGGGGCUGCAUGAUGAGCUGAUGUAUACGUAUAACACUACGCCAUUAGGAGUCAAUUUAUAUGCUAUAUUCAUUUCGCAUAAUAAUAGCAACAUGUUUUCCCCUAGGACUCAUGACCUAUCUAGUUCUAAGUUCUUGUCUUCAUUAACAAUUUCAGCUAUAGGUUCAAUUUUAUGGAGCUGGCCUUAAAUUAAAAAAGAAAUGUUUGUUACUGCCAUAACGUUUGUGCCACUAUUUUACCCGUGUGUGUGUGUGUGUGUGUGUGUGUGUGUGUGUGUGUGUGUGUGUGUGUGUUGUAGGCCGGUCACUAUCGUAUGGUUGGGUGAGCUUGUGAUUAUCCCCCACCCUGGUAGCCUGCAUAGUACAUUCCAGAACUAUGAACGCUAACCAGUAGAGGUGAAGCUUCUAGUUGAGCACCAGCUCAGUAUCUUGACAUUCAAUGACAUCUGAAUGUGGAAUUUUCAGUAACAGAGUCUUACUCUCAGGGUGUGGAGGGCAGUCAAUAACAUCGGUUGUAGUCCAUAAUAUUUGGGGGUGAGACUAAGACCCUUUUAAGCAACGACUCAAAACCUAUUUCGGGAUUUUAUUUGGUUGUAUGUGAUAUCUAUAUGGGCUGUUUCUCUCCUAUUACAUGGCCACUGCACGUACAUUUCUUUUAUAAGUACAUAGUUUAGGAAGCUGCUACAGUGGCUUUCAUAUUGCCUUUCAAAAGUCCUUUAGCUUAGUUGUCCCUCAUGGUAUUCUUUCCUCUACUCUGGGCUUCCUUUCCUCUUCUCAUUUAAUUUAAAAAUGACCAUAUGACCAAACUCUGAAAUCAUUUAUUGUGUGUAACUGGAAGGUCUAUGUAGAGGAGAUCUGCAUGGCUGUUUUAUCAAACCUGCUCUCUUGGAGAUCUGAACCUUUGGUUUGAUGUUAGAGAACUAUGUUGGCCAGCAGCCUGGUCAGAACCAUUCAGUGCAACUCCAGUCAAGUAACACACGCCAUGGUUGCUGUUUUCAGUUUCUGUGUUGCAAGGAGACAGCUGAAUGCAAAUAUAUAUAUAUAUAUAUUCAGCCUUUUGAUUUUAGCUUUAUGGCAACUUCCAGUAAUAUUUCUUCCCUCCGCAUUGCUUAGUUUUUAACCCAACAAGAUAGCAAAAAGAAAUAAGAAAAAGACUAACUCUUCCCCUCUACCAUCUCUGUGUGUGCACAUGUGUGUGUGUGCAUGUGUGUAUGUGUAUGUGCAUGUGCAUUUGUGUUUGAAUAUGUGCAUGUGCAUGUGUGUGUGUGUGUGUGUGUGUGUGGUGUUUGAUAUGUAAGUGCAGGUAUGUAUAUCACUGUGCACCUGUGGACAUAGAGCACAGGUUCAGCUGUCAAUCCUUGCCUUCUGCCUUGUUUGAGACAGGGUCUCUUUGUUGUUUUUGCCGCUGGGUAUAGGAGCUUUUGGGAGCUGCCUUGUCUCCACUCAGUAUCUCACCACAUGAGUACUUGGACUGCCCAUGUGUAUUGGCAUGACAGGGUGGACAUGGUUCUGGAAUCCUCAUGUUUGUACACCUCAGGCCCCCAUUCUUGCACAGAAGGCUCUUGGUCCAACUUAGCCACCUCUGCAGCACACAAAAUUAUUUCCUGUCCAUAAUUUAUCUCUCUAAGACAAUAAAAAAGCUUGUUUUUCCUGGGACUUGUUUUCCCUGCUUCUUAGCUGCUCUCAUUGGCUGCAGAGCAGCCCCGUUACCUCCUUGUCACGCAUCACCAGGUUCUCCAGUUGAUUAACAGAUAUGAGGGGGUGCUUUGUUCAUGUGGGACAUCUGAUAUUUUGGGUUCCUUUUUCAUUCAAUUUCACUUUAGCUAUGAAAAGAUCACUCAUUUUCAGAAACCAGUUUUUAUCUCUCAGGCUUUGGAAAAGACUUUGCACCCUUGUCUCAAAUAGAGAGCAGUUUUUCCCCCUCCCAAAGAGUAUCUAAGAUUUUUUCAAAUGUAGAGAAUUUUAACAAUAUUCUUUGAAAAGUUUCCAACAUGGACUUUCACGACUAUCGUCCUAUCUUCUGCAUUUUCAUGUUGAGUCAAAAAUUGUAGGAAAGCUUUGUGGCAUGGAUUCAUUGCAUGUCUGUGCUCUUAUUGACAUUGGGUUCCCAGUGGCUUGUGCUGGGCAAUCAUAGCGUUGACUUUGAAAUGUUUAAAGCUUCCUUUAUAGAUGAUAUGGCCCUAUCUUCUUCAGGCCCUCACAUGGUCUAGGAUCUAGUAUGUGACCCUGUUAGCUCAGAGUCUCCACUGUCACUUUAUCCACCAGUCUUCUUGAAAUGGAGCAUGGAGCUGGUGUUUCUGGCUGUUCUUUUUCUUUGAUGCCUGGGCAUUAGGCUCCUUGGUCAAAAGCUUCCACAAAUGCCAACAGCGUAGCUACUGCAUCACUGUCUUUGAUCCUUGAUCAUUUGUACGCUGCCUUUUCUAUUUCUCCUUCGUUCUCCUUUUGAGGGUGGAGAAACCGAGAAAAGUCCCAGACACCAAAGGAAGAUCCAAAUAACAAUAUUUCCAGGCAUAGCUCAGGCAUGGAGCAGCAUGAAGGACAAACACUUGGCUUCCCAGGGCUGCAAUUUUCUUUCCCAUAAUAAAACAGUUGGGUAAGGUUACCCUGCCUCACUAGCCUUAUACCUUUUAAACAUCAAGGAGGACCUAUGAUUUCCGGACUUUAGUUUAGGAUCCUAGGUCACAUGAGUCCUAGUGGCAGGCCACAUUGUGUUGCCUCUUAUUGGAGCUUUAAGUUUCUAAAAUUUCCCAACAUCUACCUCUAUUACACUCAUCAGGGAAUAAUUUUAAUCAAGGAGAAAAUUGCAAAAAGAGAUAACUUUGAUGAUAGGCUAAAUGCAUACGGCACGAGACCGAAAAUCAGUAUGUGUUCAUGGUCUCCUCUCUGAUACUCUUCAGGCAUGUUUUAAAUUAGAAUAAUAUGAUAUCCUGGGAGAGUUCUGAAAUCAAACAUUUCUGCAGCAGACAAUGAUUCAUAGAAAAUGGAGCAAGUAAAGAUAUAUUUUCAUAGUAAAGCACAGAUAUUCAUGUAAAGUAGAAUAAACAAUAGUAGCAGUUCAGUAAUGCUAGGCUUGCUAUCCAGGUGGUUCAAACAUUUAUCUAUAGUUUUUUUUUUUUUAUAUUUUUGGUUUGUGGUAAAAGAUUCUGAGUUGUUUAGAAAAAUACAAUAGUUUUCUCUCACCUAUGCUUUUACUUUCAAUAGUAUAAGCUCUUCUUGGUCUACUGUCAUCUAAACGUGUUAAAAGAAGCCCAGAAUGAAGGUAUAUGCUUGCCUUCCCAGUUACUUUAAAGCUAGAAGCAGGAGGAUUGCCUGUCCUAGGGGUUCCAGAGCAGACUGAAUAACAUGAAUCGAUCCUUUAUAAAAAGCACACCAAGAUACAGACAAAAAGGCAUUAUAAAAAAAUUUAAAAACAACCAGUGUAACCACUAAAAUUGUGCAGUAUAGUGAGGAACAUGGUUUCAUCUUGAGCCAUCGACUCCAUCCCCCUGGAGUGUGUGCAGCCACUCGUGUAGGAUUUCUACUGCCCACUUGAGAGUCACUCAGUAGUCACUCUUGGGGAUGGAUGUGCUCCUCUGAAGAGACUAGCUCUAACUUCAGAAACUUAUUGGCAUCUUAGAAUGUGUCCUUUAUGGAAAUUGCUGUGAUUGAAGGACAGACUCUAGAGAUCAAAACUAGGCUUAUUUAUCAGCUAUGAAUUUUGAAGUAUCAGAAAGAUGAAAAAAUGAUCGUGAAGUGUACCCUUUGGUUUUAUGAACCAAUCUCAUGCUUUCAAGUGAAUUCAACAUGGCUGAUGUUGCAGCUUGAAAUACCCACCAGGGUCUCAUGGAUUGGGACAUUGGGUGAACAGUUGCUGGCUGUUUGAAGAGGCCAUGGAAACUCUAGUAGGGGCAACUUUACUGGAGAAUAUACAUCAUCAGCAUGGGGGCUGGGCUUUGAGAGUUUGUAGUCUUGCCUUCCUCCCUGCUUACACUCAGUCUCUGCUUCCCAUGUGCAGAUGAGUUGUUAUCUCAGCAUAUUUCUGUGGUCUACUGAAGUUAUGUCUCCCCACCAGUAUAACCUCUUCCUCUACCAUGAACUAGGAACCCAAACAGGCUCUUUAUGUUAGCUGUUGAUCAUGGCAUUUCAUCACGGCAACAAAAACACAACGAACACAGAUGGCAUUCUUUGAUUGCUGCACCCUCCAGGACUGAUUUUUCUCAUUUGUGAUCCCAUCAUACGCUAAAGUAUUCUUUUCUUUAAUAAUAAGCAUAGUUGAAUUCCUACUGGGUAGAAUCAGGUAAUUUGAGAUGUAAGAGCAAGUCAGUCCUUAUUAAACCGAUCAGUAAAGAGAGCAAGAGAGGGUUGGGGAUUUAGCUCAGUGGUAGAGUGCUUGCCUAGCAAGUGCAAGGCCCUGGGUUCGGUCCCCAGCUCCGAAAAAAAAAAAAAAGAAAAAAAAAGAGAGCAAGAGGAAUCACACAAAUGUUUGUGUAUUAAUAGGGUAAUACAAUCUCUCUGCUGUUUAGGAUGUUUCCUAAGAAUACGUUUUCAGAUGUCACUUGGUAGCAUGAUGCUGGUCAAAAGAGGAGGGUAGGGAAAUAAUUGUGUUCCAGGAAAUGGGCGGAUAUGGUGGCUAGUUGGAAAAACUCCAUUCAGUGAGUCCAAGGAAGUUAGAGGUAGAGAGUGGAGUCCUUGAGAAGAACAGUAACUUGAGAGGUAGGUGAGGGGUCAGGUGGUAGAACACCAGAUUUCUCCUGUUAGAACUGGAACUUCUUUGUUGCUAUCUUAGCCUUUCUAAAAUGUGAGCAGUUCUUUGGGUUGGGAUCAUCUUCAAUUCUUCGUAUUUCAGGGAUCAUCACAGUGACAGGCAUAUCAUGUAGGGGGGGGGGGAGAGAAUGAAGGAAGAAAGGACAGAAAUGAAUUGAAAAAGGAUUCCCUCCGUGUAAUACAUGAAUACUAGAGACAGAUCAACCACUUGAACAGACAUUGCUCAAUGAAAGCACUUAAAAAUCUGGUCUCAAAUACAACUGUAAUGUAUGCUGUGGACACAAAUAAGAAGCUUUGCCCCUUGGAACCCCAAUGUUCUCUUCUGCAAAAUCGCGUAGUUGAACUUUUCUCUGUACCGGAACUUCAACUGUCUUAUAAAAGGGCCAUUGAAUGAGUACAGUGGAGAGUUGUCAUUCGCAGCACAGGUGGUUAAAAUGGUAAUGCGAUUUUGGGGUUGCUGCAUCACUAGGGGACUAUAUCGUGGAGGUGCGUGACUCCAUACAGAAUCGAAACUUUUCAAUUCAUCUUUGAUUAAAUAUUCACCCCACUCUAACAAUUUAGUUUGAAGUGCUAUUCUCCUUCAAAUUUACAUUCAGUGGUGCCCUCAACAUUUCUCAAAUUACUAGUGUCAGUUAAGACAAGGACAAAACAAGGAUGUUAAAAAUAUAUCAGGUCUCCGUGACAUUACCACAGAGACCAAAUAUCUUGCUUGCCAGCGAGGCUUUCUUUUUAGGAAGGAAAAUUUAUAUGCGGCUCUCCUUUCAAGUAUGUUCAAAAUGAGUCUGAGGAAAUAGAGCAAUGGAAAUGGUUAUCAGAUAUUGGUUCUAACUCACUUAUUUACAAAACACCUUGGUAAAUGAAGGAAACAUGAAGAGGGGCCCUUGGAACCCAUUCUUAGUCUUCAAACAAACAUGAAAGUUGCUUUAGACUCUACUUUGGUCCGUGAAGAUUUAACCUCUUUUCCUGUUAUGUUGGGCGAGUGUUUUCAGGCAAAGUGAACGUUGGGAGGCUUAGAAUGUGAAGAGUUUUGGGGCAGUCUACUCAGAAGGAGACUGAGCAGCCAAUAGUAGUUGUAGCACUUGGAGGUCAACCUCAUGGGCCAAUGGAAUGAGUGGGCUUGAUCAUAACUUCUUUGAAUUGGGUUUUCUAUAAUGAAAAAGCCAGAGAGGAAGCCACACUGAUGUCAUGUAGGGCCACACAAACAUCUAGAUUUUGUGGUGUCAGCAAACAGACAGCCAUGAAGGCAAGCACAGAGAAACUGAAGUUCACUGGUCUAUACAAUGGCAUGAAUGAAUGACUCAACUGUGUGGGCCAAGUGGAUCCUCAGAGCCACUCUGGUCAUUAUUUUUUUUUUUUCUGUAAGAUGAAUGAGUUAAACCACAUAAAGCUCAGGGCCUUGUAAUAAAAAUUGCAAUUGCAUGUUUGAUUCUAAGCUAAAAUACAGAAUUCAAAUUCAUUCACAUGAAAAAUGUUUAUGCCUUUUUCUAAUUACAGGAAAACCUCUCAGUUACAGCCAACAGAAAUAAUAUAGCUUCUAAAUCAUUAAUCAUCUGACUUCUCACUUUAGGGAAAUCUUAGAUGACUUAGUUUUUCUUCACCAUUGAGUGUGUGUUAAACUGCACAGCCAGAUAUAAAUCACUCUAACUGCAGACACACUUGACUGUUUCCCUUGUGUGUGUACAUGUGUAGGUGUUCCUGUAUGUUAGUGUGUGUGUGUGUAUGUAUGUGUGUGUGUAUUUGUGUGUACAUGUAUGUGUGUACAUGUAUGUGUGUGUGUGUGUAGGUGUUCCUGUAUGUUAGUGUGUAUGUGUGUAUGUAUGUGUGUGUAUUUGUGUGUACAUGUAUGUGUGUACAUGUAUGUGUGUGUGUAGGUGUUCCUGUAUAUUAGUGUGUGUGUGUGUGUGUACAUGUAUGUGUGUGUGUGUGUAGGUGUUCCUGUAUGUUAGUGUGUAUGUGUGUAUGUAUGUGUGUGUGUAUUUGUGUGUACAUGUAUGUGUGUACAUGUAUGUGUGUGUGUGUGUAGGUGUUCCUGUAUGUUAGUGUGUGUGUGUGUAUGUAUGUGUGUGUGUAUUUGUGUGUACAUGUAUGUGUGUACAUGUAUGUGUGUGUGUGUAGGUGUUCCUGUAUGUUAGUGUGUGUGUGUAUGUAUGUGUGUGUAUUUGUGUGUACAUGUAUGUGUGUACAUGUAUGUGUGUGUGUGUGUGUAGGUGUUCCUGUAUAUUAGUGUGUGUGUGUGUGUGUACAUGUAUGUGUGUGUGUGUGUAGGUGUUCCUGUAUGUUAGUGUGUAUGUGUGUAUGUAUGUGUGUGUGUAUUUGUGUGUACAUGUAUGUGUGUACAUGUAUGUGUGUGUGUGUGUAGGUGUUCCUGUAUGUUAGUGUGUGUGUGUACAUGUAUGUGUGUGUGUGUGUAGGUGUUCCUGUAUAUUAGUGUGUGUAUUUGUGUGUGUGUGUGUGUGUGUGUGUGUGUGUGUGUGUGUGCGCAUGCACACAAUCAACCCUCCAUAUUUCUGGACUCCAAAUAUAUCGAUACAACCAACUACAGAUCAAAAAUAUUCAGAAAAAUGCAUCUGUAUAACAUAUACAGCCAUUCUUCCCUUCCAUCACCUUGAAAUGAUAUGGUGUAACAACCACUUAGUUCUACUGUGUUCUGUAAGCAAUCUAGACCCGAAUUAAAGUAUUCAGAAGAACAUACAUACACUGUGUUAUAUGAGGACUUUGGUAGCAGAGGUGGGUCCUGAAAUUAAACUAGUUCCUCAUGGACAGAUACCAGAGAAUGAUUAUACACACUCUCUCUCUCUCUCUCUCUCUCUCUCUCUCUCUCUCUCUCUCUCUCACACACACACACACACACACAAAGUAUAUAAAUGUGCAUUUAUAUUUAUAUAUUUAUAUUUAGCUAAUUAUUUGGAUCAAAUAAUCAUUUAUGGCAAUUGGUGGUUUAAGCAGUAAUGUUUUCAGUUACUCUAAUGCAUAGAAAUGCUGCAUGUUUACCAAGUUUGUGUAACUUGAGGUUUCCAGAAAAUUCUAUCCAGGAGUGAGGAAUCACUCAGAGUAAGCACCUGUUUGUCUUGUUAAUUUGUAACUUAAAACACUUUGUCUGACUCAACUCAAAAGAAGCCUCCAGUCUGAAAUGAUCAGUCACCCUAAAUUAACAUUGUGAUCACUGCUGGCAUGACCCUCUGUAUAGCAUUGUGCCCUCUAUGCUGAAUGUUCUGAAUUAUUCUCUAAGGGAGAAAAUAGAGGAUACUUUCUUAUUCAAGAAAUAGACUCUAAGUAAAAAAAAUGUAUCCUUCCUUCUAAGAAAAAGGCAGUGCACAACCAAAAUUUGUGACUUUAAAACAUUUAGUCCCUACUGAUAGGGCUUUUAUUGAAGUACAUGAAAAUAUGAAUACAGAAAAUUAUUCAUGUAAAAAUAAAAAGAGCCAAACUGCAGAGAAGAAACAGGUGGAAUUUGUUGUUUUUCCUGCUUGGAUGAUUUUCCAAAGCUUCAGAUCAAACAUUGACCUUUCACCCAGGUGAACGACAGUGUAGUGAGAAAACUCUCUUCCCUGUUGGAAGGACAUAGGCGGUGGAAGCCUGUCCCUGGACGGCUGCUGAGCUGAGUGGUGACUAUGAGCAAUUGCCAUCUGACAGUUAUUCUGUGGCUUAAGGAAAAUGGCUGUGGUCACGCUCCGAUUCCUGCUGGACAGAAUAAUGCUGAGCACGCAGCCUGGGCCUGACUACGAACAGCUAAACCUGAACCCUGGCCGUGCUUCAGUCAAUAAAGAUGAAAAGGCUGACUCAGACUUAGGAACAGUCACAAAAGGGCUCCAUGCUGCAUCCGUAAAUCUAACCCGGAGUCUAAAAAUCCCAGCAGUACCUUCCGGUGGUGUAUCCAGAUGACAACAUAAGAAUAUCUUGUAUACGGAAACUGAAGAUCAAGAAAUUCUUUCAAUUUGGGGGCAAUUUCAUAAUCUAGAAUUGAAAAUAGAUAGUAUAAAACCAUUCUAGUUAUCUUCUAUCUCUUAGGAACAAAAGCUGUUCGUUGAUUUAGUAAACAUUUAUUGGCUUGUACCUGUGCCAAGAUAUCUUGACUCCAUAAAAGAUUUUCCUUCCCUUCCAACCUAAUGGUGUCUACACCCAAACUUUUAAAAAUUAACAACAGAGUGGAGGACAUUCUUAGCAAUGUGAUUUACUCUUUGGUCAUGAAAGGAGAAACCUUCUGAGGUCAGUCUCAUGACUGUGAUGGUAAGGUUUGUAUGUCCAAGAGACACCAUCCAAGCCCAGAUGACAGUGGCUGGCCUUUUGUUGUUGGCAGUAUAGUUAAAUGGGUUUAUUUGCCUAUAGAAAUAAAACAAAAGGCUAUUGUUCACAAAAGUUUGGAAAAAGUCUCUGACGGCCAGGAAAAUUGAGGAUUAGAGAGCAUUAAGUAUAACGUGUGUGUGUGUGUGUGUGUGUGUGUGUGUGUGUGUGUUUCCUGAAUGCAUCUAUAAACAGUAUCCCUGUCCCCCAUUGAACAAUUGAAAGUAUCUGAAGGUUUGCCACAGCUCAUGAGACAGCACUGUGGGCGUCUAGAGAGACAAGGCCAUUGAGAUGCUAGUGAACUUGGCUCAGUACCCAGGAAGCCCCUCCACACAUGGUGAUAGAGUCGGGAUGGGACUUGCUGCCUUCUAAGGGCACUGGGACGCUUGUUUGAUGCAGAGUCCUAUAUGCUUCGAGAAGGCAAAUGUUGAAUUUUCUAAAAAAGACAGUUAUCGCAACACAGAGUCAAGCAGGAAGCAGGUCUACCUUUCUAAUACACUUGGCAUCAUCAUCAUUUUUCUAGUUUCCUGGCACGGUGGUAGCUAGCUGACAUCUGAUUGAUUUAGACAACAGAAAUCUGUCUCCCAAUUCUGCAGGCUGGAAGUCCAAGCUCAAGGUAGGGGCAAGCCUGACUGUUCAUCGGCACCGUGGGUAAAUCUCCCUCCUGCAGCACUCUUAGCACUUGCCGGUUUCUUUGCAACUAGCAUUUGUGUUGCUUUUCCACCCCUAUGUCUGCCUCCAUCUGCAUAUGGUGGCUUCUCUCUGCGUGUACCUGCAUAAACGUUUCCCUUUCGUUAAGAGAUCAGCCAUGCUGGAGUAGAGCCCACUUUCAUGAUUCUAACAUGCUACUCUACGUCUGUAUAAACUCCAUUUUCAAGUAGUACCAUGCUAGGAGACAGAAAGGAUUAGAACUCCAAUGCAUCUUAUUUGCACAGAUAUAAUACAGCCUGUGUGGUGCCCUGGGCCAGAACUAUUUUAGAAGGGGAAUAAGUGGCCGGGAUAGAACCCAGGAUCCUGUGUGUGCUAGGCAAGCACUCUGCCAUGGAGAUACCUCCCAACAACUGUACUUUAUGGGUUUCUGAAGGUCCUUUAUUCCUUUUGAGCACCUAGAAAGGCAAUCGUUUUUUAGUAGAGUAUAAAUACACAUGAAUACUCAAUUUACUGAUGAGCUCUCAUUCAUGACUUUGUACAUGCCAGACCAGUACAAUACCAUGGAGUUUUAACCCCAACCAUAAUGGGAAAGAUUUAAAUAAACAAACUUCCAUUGUAAAAAUAGUAUGAAAAGCCAUUCAUGGCACUUUCCUCCACUACAAAAAAUUAAAAAUUCUCUGCAAACAUAUGGGAACAGGUGAGGUACAGGUAAGGUAAGCGUGUCUAGAAAAUCUGCAACUGUUGUGAAAUAGAAUAUUAGCAACUUAAUUUGUUCUUGGAGGGAAACUGAGUCGGACAUAAUGAUCCAUUUUCUUUCCUAAGUGGUUUCCCAGAAGCUUACAGACCCCCUUGGUGGUCGGUGAGAUGGUUAAACAAAAGAGCCCAAUGUGCUCACCCAAUCCUGCCACCCGAAAGUGACCAGCCAAUAUUACCUGUGACCUUUCCCAGGCGUGUGAGCAGAAAACCCUUCUUGAAAGAGGGAGCGAUAAAGAAAUCUGGACUUCGUUCUUUCAUGGGUUUGCUCUUAGGAAUGUUUAUUGGCGAGACACUAAGAAUAAACCCAGUUAUUGAAGAGGGAGCUGGGAAGUUGACAAGCAUGGCUAAACCCAGCAGAGAAAUUUGAUGAGGAAAUUAGAUGCUGUGAAGAUGGUGUGUAGUGAUUAGUCUUCUGAAAGCCAGGAUUAUUAUAUAAGUGGGUGGGGGGAAGGGCAGGUUAUUGGGACAGUUUGACUCCAUUUAUACAGGUGUGCUCCUUGCCAUCAGACCCGAAAUGCAGCGUGUGUGUUUUUACAUUUCCAGCAAACCUUUCUCCAGAGAUGGAUACAAAGAGAUGGAUCGCUGGAGCAGCGUCAUUUCCCCCUUGAGUCUUAGGUUGCAGCAACGGGAGUUAGGGAUAAGAAAAAUGCACAGUCUAAACGUGUCCCUGCAGUAGGAUCUUAAAACUAAAGUGAUGUAUUUACAAUGCUGUAUAUUCGCUAGUAUUUGAGUAAGGCUCGUUCUAUACGCAGUGAGAAUGUUAGCUGCUUCAAGCAAGGCACUAUAAUAAUCACAAAAUCCAAAGAAGAGAGAGGCCUAAGUACACAAAGGGACAUUUUAUCUAUUUUCUUGUUAAAAGUAAUGGUUAAAUCUUUAAAACCUGUGUCUCCUCCACCAACAAGAGUGACUUUUCCAAGGGUUGGGGAUUUAGCUCAGUGGUAGAGUGCUUGCCUGGGAAGCACAAGGCCCUGGGUUCGGUCCCCAGCUCCGGAAAAAAAAAAGAGUGACUUUUCCUGCCCCCCCCCCCCCCGGAAGCGAUCAGCUGCCAGUAGCCUCUAGUUUCCCAGUUCUUUUCUUAUUUUCUUUUCUUAAGUUCUAGGGACAGAACCGGAACCCCAGAACCCCGGGGAACAUCCUUCUUCCCUGGAAGGCAAGCAUCCUACUGACAAGGCUGUGGCCCUAGCGGACCCCCCCCCCCCGCCACCCCAUCUCUCUUGAAAUCAUCAUUUAAAAUCUUAUUCAAUGACUUGUUUCCUAACAGACCUUGACAUUCCUUUCUGCAGCCUUUAUUGUUUUCAUUCCAUGCGUCAAAUAAGAUAGGCUGUAAGCUUACCUAGCACAGCAUCAGGUAUGGAACACGCGCUCUGCGGAAAUAGAUGCCCC